rnacentral:misc_RNA from 1 species
AACUUUUGACAAUGGAUCUCUUGGCUCUCGCAUCGAUGAAGAACGCAGCGAAAUGCGAUAAGUAAUGUGAAUUGCAGAAUUCAGUGAAUCAUCGAAUCUGUGAACGCACCUUGCACCCUUUGGCAUUCCGAAGGGUACGCUCGUUUGAGUGUCAUUGUACUCUCACACUCCCGAUGCUUUUGGAUUGGGAGUGGUGGACUUGGGUGUUGCUGCUUUACUGUGGCUAACCUCAAAUGGAGUAGUGCAACUCUUGGUUGGACAUAGUACGGCGUGAUAAGUGUCUUCGCCGGCGCCUCAUUAGAGGGUGGCCGAUCGGGAGCUCUGUGCUUCAAACCGUCUUCGGACAACAUCUGACAACUUGACCUCAAAUCGAGUAGGACUACCCGCUGAACUUAAGCAUAUCAUAAGCGGAGGCU